rfam:Struthio camelus australis contig24721, whole genome shotgun sequence.
AGGAGAGCAAGCCUAUGGAGGAUGGGACUCUGGGAGGUCACGGCCAGCCGGGAUCAGCAUUGGAUGGGGAGCUGGAUGAAGACAGUAUACCUAUUAAACCAUAAUGUAGCCUCUGAAGGUGCUUGCAGAUAUCUGUGGAGCAGAAGAGUGAAAGCUCCCUUGAUCUUGAUUUUCAGUACAAUCCAGGCUGUGAAAAGGGGGCUUCUCAGUCCUUCCGACUUUUAUUUGUUUGGGAAGCAGGAGGUAUCAGGAAACUUACUGAUACUUGGGAUAAUUGGCUUGUGGAGGCCAAAUGUCCAAAUGUUCAUAAUAACCCUGAUUGUUGAGCCUGAUAGCUUGAGGCAGAACACACCAAGCUCUGGAUUGCUGGAUUGUUGUCCCACUGACAGGGAAAGUGAGCUGGCUUUGGCUGUUUGGCCGUUGUGAGAGAGGUUAGUUACACCUUU